AUCCGUUGUGCUAUAUCGAUAACUUUGGUUUUCUGUUGGAUCACCUCGUUCUGGAUUCGAUCCUUCAGAGAAAAAGAGAUUUUUAUUACACGAUGU